CCUACGGGGGGCAGCAGUGGGGGAUAUUGCACAAUGGGGGAAACCCUGAUGCAGCGACGCCGCGUGUGGGAAGACGGUCCUCUGGAUUGUAAACCACUGUCCCCAGGGACGAAGAUGACGGUACCUGGGGAGGAAGCUCCGGCUAACUACGUGCCAGCAGCCGCGGUAAUACGUGGGGAGCGAGCGUUGUCCGGAGUUACUGGGUGAAAAGGGAGCGUAGGCGGGACUGCAAGUUGGGUGUCAAAUCUACCGGCUCAACCGGUGGCCGCACUCAAAACUGCAGUUCUUGAGUGAAGUAGAGGCAGGCGGAAUUCCUAGUGUAGCGGUGAAAUGCGUAGAUAUUAGGAGGAACACCAGUGGCGAAGGCGGCCUGCUGGGCUUUUACUGACGCUGAGGCUCGAAAGUGUGGGGAGCAAACAGGAUUAGAUACCCCGGUAGUC
rnacentral:rRNA from 1 species